rnacentral:lncRNA from 1 species
CACACUUGACCCGCUGGCUGGUUGAGGUGUCUGCCCUUCAUACAUGCCUCCUGUCUGAGUCCCUUAGCGAGCCCCUCAUGCCAUUUGUUGCUGGGAAAGGCAGGAGGGAUGAAUGUGGAUUCCCAGCCCCUCUGCUUUGACUCUCUUGGGCCUGGCAUGGGGCCCUUGUGUCCCCAGGGCUCAGAGGUAACCAACAGCAAGAGUCGUGAUGUGUACAAGCUGCCGCCACCCACACCCCCGGGGCCACCCGGAGAUGCCUGCAGAUCCCGCAUCCCAUCUCCACUGCAGCCUGAGAUGCAGGGCACCCCUGACGAUGAGCCCUCUGAGCCCGAGCCCUCACCCUCCACACUCAUCUAUCGCAACAUGCAGCGCUGGAAACGCAUCCGCCAGAGGUGAGCGUCCCCCAGCCUGCUUGCCCCUCGUAGGGCCCUUUGCAACUGCUGAGUCUCCCCUCUGCCUCCCCAGGUGGAAGGAGGCCUCUCAUCGGAACCAGCUUCGUUACUCAGAAAGCAUGAAGAUCCUACGAGAGAUGUACGAACGACAGUGAUGUUCCCAGGUCCCCCCACACCAGUAAACAUCCCCCAGCUCCAC